rnacentral:lncRNA from 1 species
UUAUGCCUAACCUCCUUAAGCCAAGCUAUGAGUGGACAUCCUCACUUCAUUUUUUAAUCUGAUCCUAUAAUAUAAAUUUUAUAGAAAAUCCUUUCCAACAGUGUAUAGAGGGACUUCUAUUUACAAAAUGACUCUAUUAGUAAAAAUGUUAAAAGAUGCCGUUACUACGUUUCAUUAGAAGUCAAACGACACAACUUCUUUUUAAUUCGUUCUGUAUGCUGUUAAUGCUAUACCGAGAAUACUGAAAAUCAUUGAUACUGACUGAGAGGACAUUUCAGUGCAAACUUCGUAAAGUCAUUUGUUUGUUUUCUGAAUGAAGGUUAGUAAAUUUAAUUUGUUUACUCAUUUUCUUAGCUUUUCUUCUAUUUACAUUACAUGAUUGUAAUAUUAAUAUUUUGGGAUAUAUCAAUUUCUUACGGCAGUAGUUCAUACAAUGGUAUAAAGACAGAAGGUUGAUGUUUCUUGUGACAGCAGUAGUUCUUUUAUAUUUCCAAGUUUUUAGUUUGUAAAGGUUUAGAAAAAUUUCUAAGGUUACACUGCACAUCUGAAAGUCGGUACUGAAGGUUUUCUAGUGCGGAUGUUGGAAAAUAAGUUGUAUACUUUGAGGCAGUAUUUGAGGUGAUAAUAGCCAUGGGUAUCUUCCAGAUGUGAAGUUUUGAAGAUGUACUGAUGAAAUUGAUAUUAACUUGCAUCUGCAUUAAAAAAAAAAAAAAACUUGCAUCUGCAUUUCAGCGAUUUUACAUUUGGUGCCAUAACUGCCGUUGUGGUUAAAGUAGAAAUUUCAGUAACAUUGUUCAUGCUGACCUUACUAUCCAGAUUCCUUUGCAAUACUUUGUGAUUUUAGUAUCUGUUUAGGCUCUUUCUUGUAGUUGAACUCCCGGAUAAUUGAGGAGAUGCUAGUAAGCAAUCCUACUGUUAAUGGUGCCUAGUAUGGCUGAGAACCUAUGAGCGAGCCUACUACGGUAGAGCAGUUAUAUAUAUACCGAGCCUUAUAGGGCCGGACAACUAUUUUACUUACUAUAUUGAGAGAGUUGAGCCAGUAUCAGCAGGUAAGCAUAUCUUUAGAUUAUCUUUGACUUCCAGCUAGUUGCAGUUAUUAUAUUAUUAGUUCAGUUUCAGCUUUCAGUAUAUUGCCUUACAUACUCGGUACAUUGUUCGUACUGACGUCCUUUUGUUGGGGCCACUGCAUUCAUGCUUGCAAGAAUAGACAAUCAGCUUGACGAGCCCUCAUAUUAGAUGAGAUCAGCAUUCAGCGAAGGAUCGGUAAGACUCCACCUCAUUUGGAGUGCAGCCGAGUUUUAUGAGUCAUCGUGUCAGAAUUUUGCUACACACUUAUGAGUAGGCCGGUACCCGGCCCCGUUGAUGUCGAAUAAUAAUAGAGGCUUUGUAGACACAGAGGUUUACUUUGUACAGUAUGUCAGAGGCCUUGACGGCCCAUAUGUACUUAUGUUUUAAGAACGAUAUUUUAUUGAUACAGUGCUGCCCACUUACAAUUGUACAUUACGA